UAAGCGAAGGGGUUUAAUAUUUUCGUCUUGCUAAGUCAUGAUUAAAGGAUCAAGGAUUCUGGACCUUACGAUGAAUAUGAGAUCGAUGGUUUGACAUUAAUACGUCUUUUCAGUAACACCGAACCGCCUUACACUACAUAAGCCCCUCAAGCCCCGAGCGUUGAUAUAAGCGAAGGGGUUUAAUCGCUUCCCAACGAGGGUGGUGUAACAAACACUUUACUACUCAUCGUGUCGUUUUCCUAUAUAUGCAACCUUGAGUGUGCGAAUGUUUGGCGUCAUUUUAUGACUUCACCCGAACGUCGCGCGACUACGAACAACAUGCGGCUUCACCCUAAACGACAUUCCUCCCGAUUAACCUGACAAGAGUCAUUUUCCCGACUUCAUGUAAAGGGUGGAGUAUUUGCGAAAUCAUUUUCCUGACUUCAUUUUUCCUCCCUCGUUCCACCUAUUAGGAGUCAAUUUUCUGACAUCCUGCAUGCCUUCCUUAUUCACCGAUCAGGAGUCAAUUUUCUGACAUCCUGCGUGCCUUCCUUAUUCACC
rnacentral:lncRNA from 1 species